AUUCGAUAACAGACGAUAUCGAUUUAAAGUAAGGGGAAACAACUCUUUUUUGGUGUCUUGUCAAAAGUUCAAAAUGGCCGCCCACACGAGGUUGUUGGCAAAGUUAUUGACAAGAAAUGGUACCACUUUCAACUGUGUCUUGCGUUCUGUUCAUACAAGCCAGUGUUUAACGGCAGGUUACAAAAGAAGAUUACAAAAGGGUGAAGCAGCUAAUAAAACAAGAUAUGGACCUUUAACAGAUUUACCAGAUUAUACAUAUUUAGAUGGAAGACCCACACCAUUAACACUUGGUCAAAAAAAACGAAAAGAAGACAGAAUUAAUGCAGCUAAACGUGUGGUUGAACUUGUACAGGAAAUACAGUUUGCUAAAGAAAAUCAUAAAAAUAGAACUUUACAGCAAGAAAAAGAAAAACAAGAAAACCUCUAUAGAACAUUAAAGCCAAAGGUGGGGUCAUGAAAAAAUGUCAACUGUUUUAUAGUGACAGAUGAUAAACUAAUGUGGAACAAAUGUAAUGAAGUUAUUAAUGGAAAAAAUGAAGGAAAUCAAUGUAAUGAAGUUCUAAAUUGAAAAAAAUUAGAAAAACCAGUAUGAUAAAUUACAUCUACCAAACAUCAAUGGUUGGAUUGUUGUGUUAUGAAAAGUGAGAGUUUUAGUAAAUGUAUAUUGUGUGUAAACUGUAAAUUUCCCAAAAUAUAAAUUAUGCAACACUU